CUUUUCAAACAGUCCCCCUGUGGUCUAAAUGAAACAUCUGUGCUGUGCUUUGAUCAAAAUAUAACAUGAAUCAAGCACCAGAGGAGGUUUGUGACCCUGUAUAAACCAGCUCUCUCAGAACGCUCCGUUUGGUGUGUUGUGUCAAGUUUAGAGCGUGACAAUAGAAAGAUUAAAACACAAACGUGUCGACCACACCACACAUGUUUAACCAAUUUAUUCAUGAACAUACACGUACAGUUAUUGAGUACAUUAGUAUUUUUGUAGCAUAGCACUUUGCCUUGACAACAGCUGCUCAGAAGGACCCUACAGAAACCCUCUAGUCCUUUUUUUUUUCUUUUUUUAAAUUUUAAAUCCGAUGAACAUGAUGUGAAUACUCCCUGCAGAAUGAGAAGUACCCUGCUCUCCACUGUGGACCGCCGACACAGGGCCUUUUUCACGACUUCAAACAAAAAAGGCCUUGAAGGAUGGACAGGGAGGGAGGAGGGCAGGCUACGGUUCCUUCUCGGUCUCCCUCCUGGCGUUAAGUAUUGCUCUGACAUGCCUCUCUGUGGCCUUCUGGGUAACACAGAAAGGGGGCGGGGGGGUAUGGUGGGUGAGGGAGAGUGGUGGUUCAUUGGCCUAAUAAUAGCCUUAUCACACAU